AUUUGCUUCCCUUUCUUCUCCCACGUGAUUCUCUCCACCGACUGUGAGCCGGCCCGAGGACUCGCGCUCUAAACUGAGUCCUGUCUGAAUAUUCAUCGGCUUCAUUUGCAUCGCCCACAGAUGGACCAAACAGAUGCUCGUUACGGCAAGUGUCACUUUUCACCAAAUUUGCUUUCAUGACAAAACAAAUAAAGCUAUACAGGAGGAUGGAGCGACUCGGAGCCUCCUGGCAGAGCUGCCAAGUGUGUGUGUGUGUGUGACAGUUGUCGCUGGAUAAACUUUUAAGCAUUAGUGUGUGUGUGUGUGUGUGUGCAUUGUGCACCAUCCAUAUCUGUCCAUAUCAGCAGGAUGAUUGUUGUAUGUACAAUACAGGCGUAAUAAACAAGUGAAGUUUUUGUUUGCACCGAUUUGCAAGAAAUAACAUUGAUAUUUUUCUGUUGGAAAAACAAGAACACCGGGUUCGACCCGGGGAGAUUUAAAGGUUCUAGCUUGGCUCCAGCCAAAUGGCUCAAAGGUGUAAACAGAGUUUUCUGGUGCAUCUGCACCUGUUUACAUUUAAUCCAGCAGGGAGACGAAGGCGCCGCCAUUGGAGAUGGAUGGAGCCUUUCAGCGUGUGAUGAAUUCUCCACACUGCUGCUCUCUCUCUCUCUCUCUCUCUCUCUCUCUUUGUCGUCUUGGUUCCUUCCUUCUUUUUUUUCCGUCCCCGUUUCUCAUUUAUUUCUUUUUCCCUUGUUUUGCUCCCCACAUCCAAUUCUCCAUGUUCCCCCUAGAAGCCGCAAACCUCCAUCCGACGCUUCAGUUUCUUCUUCCUCGUAUAGAAGCUUAUGAGAAAUAUGCUGCUGCUCUAUUGAUUUAUUAAUCCAUCAAUCAAUCGGCGUGUAGCCCCGAAGAGAGACGUCUAUGGGAGCAGAGGAGUCGCCCCCUGCUGGUCACUACAGAGAAGUAGUCAUCUUCUCGUAGACUUCUGUACAACCACACUGUCCUUUGGUUGCUACUUAUUGUAAGAAAGCAUCUCCUGCAAAGAGAAAAGGCGAGGAAAGGAGCUGAGGCGAGGAAAGGAGCUGAGGCGAGGAAAGGAGCUGAGGAGAGGCGCCGUUAGCAUAACAAACAGCCCCCUUUUCUUCUUGAUACUUGAUAUAUUUGAGUUAUGACCUACAUGCAUCUCUAACGUCUGUCUUUUGGUUAAUUCAGAAGAAAUCUUCCAGCCCCCCCACCUCCCCUUUCUCUGUGUUCGGAAAACGUCCUCAAAUACCCCCCAAACCCCCCCCCCUCUCCCUGCUUGGUGGAUAUUAAUUAACACCGUCAUGUGUCAUCAGCCCCUCUGGUGAGCAGAUUGCUCUUUAAUCAGACCUGACAAGCACCCGGGAGGAAGUGUGUGUGUGUGUGUGUGUGUGUGUGUGUGUGUGUGUGUGUGCUGAUCAUUCUCUGUGUGAAAACAGCCUGUUGUCCCUCCUCGCAUGAACUGUGUUACACUGAACAAUUCUCCAGGUGCUGCUGUGGUCCACCUUCCAUCUCAUCCUCUCACUACGAGGAUCCUGCAGCCAUCGAGCAGAAAUCGACCCCCUUUGAUUAAACCGUAUGAAGAAUGAGAAGCAUGAAGCUCUUCUGCAUCUGUUCUGUUUAAAUAGAUUCAUCACAUAUGAAAUGGCAAGUGUGUUAC
ensembl:lncRNA